GCACGUGUGGCGGAAUGGUAGACGCGCCAGCUUGAGGUGCUGGUUCCCCGAACGGGGAGUGUCGGUUCAAGUCCGACCAUGUGCA
rnacentral:tRNA from 1 species